UACAGAGGUGGCAAGCGUUGUUCGGAAUUACUGGGCGUAAAGGGCGCGUAGGCGGUCUCGUAAGUCCUGUGUGAAAUCCCCCGGCUCAACUGGGGAACUGCACAGGAGACUGCUUGGCUUGAGUUCGGGAGAGGGAAGCGGGAUUCCGGGUGUAGCGGUGAAAUGCGUAGAUAUCCGAAGGAACACCGGUGGCGAAGGCGGCUUCCUGGACCGACACUGACGCUGAGGCGCGAAAGCUAGGGGAGCAAACGGG
rnacentral:rRNA from 1 species